rnacentral:rRNA from 1 species
UGGGGAAUAUUGGACAAUGGGCGCAAGCCUGAUCCAGCAAUGCCGCGUGUGUGAAGAAGGCCUUCGGGUUGUAAAGCACUUUUAUCAGGAGCGAAACGCUGUCGGCUAAUACCCGGCGGAAUUGACGGUACCUGAGGAAUAAGCACCGGCUAACUUCGUGCCAGCAGCCGCGGUAAUACGAAGGGUGCAAGCGUUAAUCGGAAUUACUGGGCGUAAAGCGUGCGUAGGCGGUUUCUUAAGUCUGCUGUGAAAUCCCCGGGCUCAACCUGGGAAUGGCAGUGGAUACUGGGAGGCUAGAGUGUGUCAGAGGGUGGUGGAAUUCCCGGUGUAGCGGUGAAAUGCGUAGAGAUCGGGAGGAACAUCAGUGGCGAAGGCGGCCACCUGGGACAACACUGACGCUGAGGCACGAAAGCGUGGGGAGCAAACAGGAUUAGAUACCCUGGUAGUCCACGCCCUAAACGAUGCGAACUGGAUGUUGGUCUCAACUCGGAGAUCAGUGUCGAAGCUAACGCGUUAAGUUCGCCGCCUGGGGAGUACGGUCGCAAGACUGAAACUUAAAUGAAUUG